UGUCCUAUAGUGUAACGGUAGCACACCAGUCUCUGGAUCUGUUAGUCAAGGUUCGAAUCCUUGUAGGACAA
rnacentral:tRNA from 1 species